rnacentral:rRNA from 1 species
GAUGAACGCUGGCGGCAUGCCUAACACAUGCAAGUCGAACGGACACCUUCGGGUGUCAGUGGCGAACGGGUGAGUAACGCGUAGGAAUCUACCCCUGGGAGGGGGAUAACAGCUGGAAACGGCUGCUAAUACCCCAUACAGGCGCAAGCUGAAAGGAGCAAUCCGCCCAGGGAUGAGCCUGCGUCGGAUUAGCUAGUUGGUGGGGUAAUGGCCUACCAAGGCGACGAUCCGUAGCGGGUCUGAGAGGAUGGCCCGCCACACUGGGACUGAGACACGGCCCAGACUCCUACGGGAGGCAGCAGUGGGGAAUUUUCCGCAAUGGGCGAAAGCCUGACGGAGCAAUGCCGCGUGAGGGAGGAAGGCCUUCGGGUUGUAAACCUCUUUUCUGGGGGACGAAGUUCUGACGGUACCCCAGGAAUAAGCCUCGGCUAACUCUGUGCCAGCAGCC